AGUGAACGCUGGCGACGUGGUUAAGACAUGCAAGUCGAGCGGUAUUGAAGCUGUAGCAAUACAGUGGAGAGAGAGCGGCGAACGGGUGCGUAACACGUGAGAAACCUGCCUUAAAGUUUGGGAUAGCCCAGGGAAACUUGGAUUAAUACCGGAUGUGGUGGUAAACGGCAUCGUUUAUCAACUAAAGCUUGAGAUGGCGCUUUAAGAGGGUCUCGCGGCCUAUCAGCUUGUUGGUGAGGUAACGGCUCACCAAGGCGAAGACGGGUAGCUGGUCUGAGAGGAUGAUCAGCCACACUGGAACUGAGACACGGUCCAGACUCCUACGGGAGGCAGCAGUGAGGAAUAUUGGGUCAAUGGUCGGAAGACUGAACCAGCCAAGUAGCGUGAAGGAUGAAGGUUCUAUGGAUUGUAAACUUCUUUAUACGGGAUAAACCUCCUACGUGUAGGAGCUUGUAUGUACCGUAUGAAUAAGCAUCGGCUAACUCCGUGCCAG
rnacentral:rRNA from 1 species